UACAGAGGAUGCAAGCGUUAUCCGGAAUGAUUGGGCGUAAAGCGUCUGUAGGUGGCUUUUUAAGUCCGCCGUCAAAUCCCAGGGCUCAACCUCCAGACGUCGACGGAAACCGUGUGGCUAGAGUCCGGAAGAGGAGAGUGGAAUUCCUGGUGUAGCGGUGAAAUGCGCAGAUAUCAGGAAGAACACCAAUGGCGAAGGCAGCUCUCUGGGACGGUACUGACGCUGAGACGCGAAAGCGUGGGGAGCGAACCGG
rnacentral:rRNA from 1 species